UUCUUGGUACGUUUUCACUUCAAUUUAAUUGCCCUUGUUUUCGGCUCGUUUCGAGAUUAUCAAAUUUAUUUUCUGUUAUAUUUUAUUGGCCAAGCUCCUGCUAGACAGGCUGCAUUAGGUGGUCUGCUCCACCGUAAAUAAAGUAUGCGCAUCAGGGAUGAAAGCUCCAAUGCUUGCUGCUCAAACAAUAUAACUGGGUGAGAAUGAUGUAGUAGUUGCUGGUGGUAUGGAAAGCAUGUCCAAUGCACCUAAGUGUAUACCUAUGGGAAGUUUGAUGCAUCGAGGUUAAGAAAGCUCCGGGCAAGUUUCAAGAAGGAUGGAGUUCUGUAACAACUGGAAAUGCUUCUAGUAUAAGAAGUGGGCAUACAGCCUUGAUCCUUCCGAAGGAAGAGGGCUUCAAACAAGGGUAAGUUGAUUAUUAUCACUACCCCAUUCAAAAUAAUCUGUAAUGCACAAGAAUCCAAAUCUGUGGCUGGCUUCUUGAUAAUGAU